rnacentral:lncRNA from 1 species
UUCGUUCAUUUUUUUUACAUAAAUAAGGCCGUUAGUUUUCUCGUUUGAAUUGUUUUACAUUAUCUUAUCGGGGCCUUUUAUAGCUCACUAUGCGAUAUGGGCUUUUCUAAUUGGUGAAGGCCGUACGGUGACCUAUAGUUGUUAAUGUCUGUGUCAUUUUGAUCUUUUGUGGAUAGUUGUCUCAUUGGCAAUCAUACCACAUCUUCUUUUUUAUAUUAAUUAACAUAUAACAAAUAUGUUUCUCCGAAUAUUGCAUUAUUAUACAUAUGUUUGCAUUUCUUUGUUGAUAAAUUGCAUAUAUCUUUUGAAACUCAAUUUAAAUAAC